UGAGUGUCAAACCCAGUACUACCCCACAGA
rnacentral:piRNA from 1 species